rnacentral:tmRNA from 1 species
GGGGGCGUAAGGAUUCGACGGGGGUUGUGGAAGCAGGAACGGCAGGCCCAGGACCAUGGCCUGGCUAAAACAUGGAACGGCAAUAAACGCCAACAAACCUCAAUUAGCUGCUGCUUAAUUAAUAAGUAGCACGUCCCUCUCCUCCCUGGCCGGGGGCGGAAAAGGGGCGCCAACAAUCCGGCCUACUGCCUCAGCGGCUGUCUCACCGCUGCAGCGGGAAACUCAAGCAGACUGGCGCCGGCGAAUCCGGUCCCGGGGAGCCGGACGGCGCGAGAAGCAAAACCGGGACUAAGCCUGUAGAAAUUCCUGUUGCUGGGCCUUCGGACGCGGGUUCGAUUCCCGCCGCCUCCACCA